rnacentral:lncRNA from 1 species
AGAACAUAGCGCAAGCAUCACCGUUUUGCUUUUAUUAGUUUUAUGUGGUCUGCUGGAUUCAAAUGAUUUUAUAUAAAUGAUGUCACAUCAAUUGCAGAUUCUUUAAGAAGCAUUCCAGAGUCAGUUGGAUGAGGCUUCUCAUUGUCUUACUGAAGACGUCUUUGCGGACUGCUGCAUAGGAACCGUAGGCGGCUGGGGACAGGUACGGAGGCCCUGCUCUCCGCGCAGCAGCCCGGGCCUGUGGCCGGCAGCCUCGUCGGGAUCCG